UCCAGCCCGCCGCUGCGGCUGCACCGGUUGGGGGGGAAUUUGGCGUUGGUGGAGGGGCCCUGCGCUCGCGGUGGGACUGUUUGCAGCGAGCAGAAUUUGGGAUUUUGCUUCCCUUCAGGCCCUCAGCGCGCUCUCCCUCCUAGUCGGCUAAACGUGCGCUGAGAAAUUGAGCACUGAGAAGUCCUUUUGCAGCCGGGCGCAGGUGCCAGACCUACUCCGUUGGGGGAGGACAGGUGGAAGUCACCUAAAAUUGCCAGGCAGCGGAACCAGUGGCCCUCUGUGACAAAGCGUUUAGCCAGAGAUCGUGGAGUCGACUGAAAACCUCAGAUAAGGUCUGGAAGACCCACAGGAGACAAGUGAUUUGCCCUGAAGUGAUGGGUGGGUUUGGAUCCAGAACCCAAAUCCUUCUCUUAGGCUUUGUCCUCUGUGAAGAAUAUUUAAAGAAAUU